AUGAACGCUAGCUACAGGCUUAACACAUGCAAGUCGAGGGGCAUCAGGAAGAAAGCUUGCUUUCUUUGCUGGCGACCGGCGCACGGGUGAGUAACACGUAUCCAACCUGCCCUUUACUCGGGGAUAGCCUUUCGAAAGAAAGAUUAAUACCCGAUAGCAUAAUGAUUCCGCAUGGUUUCAUUAUUAAAGGAUUCCGGUAAAGGAUGGGGAUGCGUUCCAUUAGGUUGUUGGUGAGGUAACGGCUCACCAAGCCUUCGAUGGAUAGGGGUUCUGAGAGGAAGGUCCCCCACAUUGGAACUGAGACACGGUCCAAACUCCUACGGGAGGCAGCAGUGAGGAAUAUUGGUCAAUGGGCGCUAGCCUGAACCAGCCAAGUAGCGUGAGGGAUGAAGGCUCUAUGGGUCGUAAACUUCUUUUAUAUAAGAAUAAAGUGCAGUAUGUAUACUGUUUUGUAUGUAUUAUAUGAAUAAGGAUCGGCUAACUCCGUGCCAGCAGCCGCGGUAAUACGGAGGAUCCGAGCGUUAUCCGGAUUUAUUGGGUUUAAAGGGAGCGUAGGUGGACUGGUAAGUCAGUUGUGAAAGUUUGCGGCUCAACCGUAAAAUUGCAGUUGAUACUGUCAGUCUUGAGUACAGUAGAGGUGGGCGGAAUUCGUGGUGUAGCGGUGAAAUGCUUAGAUAUCACGAAGAACUCCGAUUGCGAAGGCAGCUCACUGGACUGCAACUGACACUGAUGCUCGAAAGUGUGGGUAUCAAACAGGAUUAGAUACCCUGGUAGUCCACACAGUAAACGAUGAAUACUCGCUGUUUGCGAUAUACAGUAAGCGGCCAAGCGAAAGCAUUAAGUAUUCCACCUGGGGAGUACGCCGGCAACGGUGAAACUCAAAGGAAUUGACGGGGGCCCGCACAAGCGGAGGAACAUGUGGUUUAAUUCGAUGAUACGCGAGGAACCUUACCCGGGCUUAAAUUGCAGUGGAAUGAUGUGGAAACAUGUCAGUGAGCAAUCACCGCUGUGAAGGUGCUGCAUGGUUGUCGUCAGCUCGUGCCGUGAGGUGUCGGCUUAAGUGCCAUAACGAGCGCAACCCUUAUCUUCAGUUACUAACAGGUCAUGCUGAGGACUCUGGAGAGACUGCCGUCGUAAGAUGUGAGGAAGGUGGGGAUGACGUCAAAUCAGCACGGCCCUUACGUCCGGGGCUACACACGUGUUACAAUGGGGGGUACAGAAGGCAGCUAGCGGGUGACCGUAUGCUAAUCCCAAAAUCCUCUCUCAGUUCGGAUCGAAGUCUGCAACCCGACUUCGUGAAGCUGGAUUCGCUAGUAAUCGCGCAUCAGCCACGGCGCGGUGAAUACGUUCCCGGGCCUUGUACACACCGCCCGUCAAGCCAUGGGAGCCGGGGGUACCUGAAGUACGUAACCGCAAGGAUCGUCCUAGGGUAAAACUGGUGACUGGGGCU
rnacentral:rRNA from 1 species